UCUUUUAUUUUUUGAGAUGGAGUUUCGCUCUUGUUGCCCAGGCUGGAGUGCAAUGGUGCAAUCUCAGCUCACCGCAACCUCCGCCUUCCAGGUUCAAGCAAUUCUCCUGCCUCAGCCUCCCGAGUAGCUGGGAUUACAGGCAUGCACCACCACGCCCGGCUAAUUUUGUAUUUUUAGUAGAGACGGGGUUUCUCCAUACGGGGUUUCACCAUGUUGGCCAGACUGGUCUCGAACUCCUGACCUCAGGUGAUCCACCCGCUCCAGCCUCCCAAAGUGCUAGGAUUACAGGUGGGAGGAUCACUUGAGGCUUGAGGCGGAGGUUGCAGUGAGCUGAGAUUGCGCCACUGUACUCCAGCCUGGGCAACAGAGCGAGACCCUGUCUCAAAAAAAAAAACAGAUGCGAUUCAAGAAAAA
rnacentral:lncRNA from 1 species